UGGGUGGUGACCUUCCCGAAGCCGCGGGGCUACGUUCUAUGUCCAAGUUUAUUAUUGAUCUAAUUGCAUCUUAUACAUGUUGCAUAUAGGGUUAGAAGAUGAUUGUUAUUGCUUAUAUUUGCAUGCUAGUAGCUAUAUGUUUAGUUGAUUGAUCCAUGAUCUAGUAUGCAUGAAAACUACAUGAUGAAAACCUAGACCCUAUAUGUGAUGGUUAAUGUUUAUGAGAUUAAAGAACUAGUAUGAUGUAACUAGUGUUGAAAAUGAGUCUAAAUGACGAGUGGCAUCUAGUUUAGAAAACUAUGACAAGUGGCAUCUAGUUUUAGAAAACUAUGAUGAGUGGCAUAUGAUUGUUGAUGACCUUGAUAUGAGAACAUUAGUGUAGUUGAGACACUAUGAGAUUGGGUACAAGAACACCUUGAUUCCAUGAUGAGAUUACCCUUAGAGGGUAGGUUGCUGUUGUUCGUGAGUUGAUCGUGCUCACAUAGCCUGUCUGCGCUUGGAGGGGUCGCUCCCCGCAAGCUGUGCACUCCGGAGGUUGGUCACUAGAGGGACAGUCAGUGUGCUGUCUGGACGGUCUGUGUGCUGUCCGCAGGCGGUCUCGGGAGUAGUUCAGUGAGACUUUCCCUAUGAGACUUACACGUGAG
rnacentral:lncRNA from 1 species